AUACGUAGGGGGCGAGCGUUGUCCGAAUUCAUUGGGCGUAAAGCGCGCGUAGGCGGACCUUUAAGUUGGGGGUGAAAUGCCGGAGCUCAACUCCGGAACUGCCUCCAAAACUGGAGGACUUGAGGUAUGGAGAGGGAAGUGGAAUUCCUGGUGUAGCGGUGAAAUGCGUAGAUAUCAGGAGGAACACCCGUGGCGAAGGCGGCUUCCUGGCCAUAUCCUGACGCUGAGGUGCGAAAGCUAGGGGAGCGAACGGGAUUAGAUACCCCGGUAGUCCUAGCCGUAAACGAUGGAUACUAGGUGUUAGAGGUAUCGACCCCUCUAGUGCCGCAGCUAACGCAAUAAGUAUCCCGCCUGGGGAGUACGGCCGCAAGGUUGAA
rnacentral:rRNA from 1 species